rnacentral:tRNA from 1 species
GCAAGCUUGGUCUAGCGUCCCUCCGAAGGCAAAGGUCACACGUUCGAAUCGUGUCGGGUGCGCCA